rnacentral:rRNA from 1 species
UGGGCAAGCGUACACAUGCAAGUCGAGCGGUAACAGGGGGUGCUUGCACCCUGCUGACGAGCGGCGGACGGGUGAGUAAUGCAUAGGAAUCUGCCCAGUAGUUGGGGAUAGCCCGGGGAAACCCGGAUUAAUACCGAAUACGCCCUACGGGGGAAAGCAGGGGAUCUUCGGACCUUGCGCUAUUGGAUGAGCCUAUGUCGGAUUAGCUAGUUGGUGGGGUAAAGGCCUACCAAGGCGACGAUCCGUAGCUGGUCUGAGAGGAUGAUCAGCCACAUCGGGACUGAGACACGGCCCGAACUCCUACGGGAGGCAGCAGUGGGGAAUAUUGGACAAUGGGGGCAACCCUGAUCCAGCCAUGCCGCGUGUGUGAAGAAGGCUUUCGGGUUGUAAAGCACUUUCAGUGAGGAGGAAAACCUUAUGGCUAAUACCCAUGAGGCUUGACGUUACUCACAGAAGAAGCACCGGCUAACUCCGUGCCAGCAGCCGCGGUAAUACGGAGGGUGCAAGCGUUAAUCGGAAUUACUGGGCGUAAAGCGCGCGUAGGUGGUUCGAUAAGCGAGAUGUGAAAGCCCCGGGCUUAACCUGGGAACGGCAUUUCGAACUGUCGG